UACGUAGGGUCCGAGCGUUGUCCGGAAUUACUGGGCGUAAAGAGCUCGUAGGUGGCUUGUCGCGUUGUUCGUGAAAACUCACAGCUUAACUGUGGGCGUGCGGGCGAUACGGGCAGACUUGAGUACUGCAGGGGAGACUGGAAUUCCUGGUGUAGCGGUGGAAUGCGCAGAUAUCAGGAGGAACACCGGUGGCGAAGGCGGGUCUCUGGGCAGUAACUGACGCUGAGGAGCGAAAGCGUGGGGAGCGAACGGG
rnacentral:rRNA from 1 species